UACGGGGGGUGCAAGCGUUGUUCGGAUUUACUGGGCGUAAAGGGCGCGUAGGCGGUCACCGCAUGUCGGUUUUGAAAUCUCCGGGCUUAACCCGGAAAGGUCAACCGAUACUGCGGGGCUAGAGUGCAGAAGGGGCAACUGGAAUUCUCGGUGUAGCGGUGAAAUGCGUAGAUAUCGUAAGGAAGACCAGUGGCGAAGGCGGGUCUCUGGACAGUUCCUGACGCUGAGGCACGAAGGUCAGGGGAGCAAACGGG
rnacentral:rRNA from 1 species